UGGGGAAUUUUGGACAAUGGGCGAAAGCCUGAUCCAGCCAUGCCGCGUGAGUGAAGAAGGCCUUCGGGUUGUAAAGCUCUUUUAGUCGGAAAGAAAGAGUCGCAAUGAAUAAUUGUGAUUUAUGACGGUACCGACAGAAAAAGCACCGGCUAACUACGUGCCAGCAGCCGCGGUAAUACGUAGGGUGCGAGCGUUAAUCGGAAUUACUGGGCGUAAAGGGUGCGCAGGCGGUUUUGCAAGUCAGAUGUGAAAGCCCCGGGUCUUAACCUGGGAAUUGCGUUUGAAACUACAAGGCUAGAGUGCAGCAGAGGGGAGUGGAAUUCCAUGUGUAGCAGUGAAAUGCGUAGAGAUGUGGAAGAACACCGGAUGGCGAAGGCAGCUCCCGUGGGUUGACACUGACGC
rnacentral:rRNA from 1 species